CAGAGCAGAGGCAGCACUGCACAGCCAGCCACGGUGUUUUCUGUUGAAAGGCUUGAAAGAAUACUUACUAUUGUAUCCUAGCUCUGCUGACCCCAGAGGUCACAAUAUGUCUUUUAUCAAGCGCUAUAAUGAAAACACAAGCCAAGCAAGCAUUUGCAAUGCUCUGUUUGUAGAAACACCUAAAAUCUACCUAACACAACCUCUCCCUCACAAAACAUGGCUGUCUUAUUCAGAGAUUAGCAAUUAUUGUAAUGAGAUACUGUCGGAGAGGGUCAAAUAGUACUUCCUGCAGUUUACACAUCUUGAUUUCCUGGUAAACAAACUGAGAGGCAGGUGGAGCACUUGGUGCGCCGGUAACCGAGAGAGCUCACGUGACCACACCGCGCCAGCAUGCAAACAUGGUCCUUAUGUCGUCAGAGAAAAUGGUGAAUGGAAUUCCUGCCACACAGACGUAUGUCAAGACAAAACUAUUAUUUCAACUAUUUCAAAAGUGUAUGCACGACUGUGUUAGGUCCCACAACAGUUCACAUUUAAACAAAUAAAACGUUGAAGAGAAACAGAAAA
rnacentral:lncRNA from 1 species